rnacentral:tRNA from 1 species
GCCUGGCUGGCUUAGUCAGUAGAGAGAGCAUGUGACUCUUGAUCUCGGGGUUGUGAGUUCAAGCCCCACGUUGGGCG